AUUGAACGCUGGCGGCAGGCCUAACACAUGCAAGUCGAACGAGGGGCGGACGGGUGAGUAAUGUCUGGGGAUCUGCCCGAUAGAGGGGGAUAACUACUGGAAACGGUAGCUAAUACCGCAUACUAUCGGAUGUGCCCAGAUGGGAUUAGCUAGUAGGUGGGGUAAAGGCUCACCUAGGCGACGAUCCCUAGCUGGUCUGAGAGGAUGAACAGCCACAUGGGGACUGAGACACGGCCCAGACUCCUACGGGAGGCAGCAGUGGGGAAUAUUGGACAAUGGGCGCAAGCCUGAUGCAGCCAUGCGGCGUGUAUGAAGAAGGCCUUAGGGUUGUAAAGUACUUUCAGCGGGGAGGCGUUACCCGCAGAAGAAGCACCGGCUAACUCCGUGCCAGCCGCCGCGGUAAUUC
rnacentral:rRNA from 1 species